GAUGAACGCUGGCGGCGUGCCUAACACAUGCAAGUCGAGCGAACAGACGAGGAUCUUGCUCCGCGGACGUUAGCGGCGGACGUGAGAGUAACACGUGUAUAACCUACCUAUAAGAGUGGUAUAAUUACGGGAAACGGGCUCUUAUACGGGAUGAUAUAUUGAACCACGGGGGGCGAUGGUGAAAUUCGGUUGUUCUGUCAGGUAUAGAUGCAUCCGCGCCGCAUUAGCUAGUUGUUAAGGUAACGGCUUACGAAGGCAAGGAUGCGUAGCCGACCUGAGAGGGUGAUAGGCCACCUGGGAACUGAGACACGGUCAAGACUCCUACGGUAGGCAGCAGUCGGGAAUCUUACGCAAUGGGGGAAAGCAUGACGGAGCGACGCGGGGCGAGAGAUGACGGUGCCCGGAUCGGAAAACCCUGUUAUUAGGGGAAAACAAAUGUGUAAGUAACUAUGCAGGUAUUGACGGUAACUGAUCAGAAAGCACCGGCUAACUACGUG
rnacentral:rRNA from 1 species